AAAAAAUAUAAUAAAGUACAGAUACCUAUAAAAAUAUUCUUGUAUAAAAAUAAUCUUAAAAAAAAAAAAGAAGAGUAGUUGUACCUUUGAUACAAGAAAAGGGUAUUAUAAUAUUGUAAUUUCAGUGUAUUUUAAAACCUUAAUUCCUGAUCUUGAUCUGCUGUUGCGUUUCCUAUUUUUAAUACCAAAAUUCAUCCAUCAAAAUCAGUGGGAAUUUUACUGUUGACUUCAGUGAAAGUAAAAUAAGACCAAGAAUAAAUAUCUUUAAAAAAAAAAAAAAAAUCCCAUCUGAAUGCUAUACAGCUAAAGAUUUUCUUUCAUUUCAGUAUUACACUUAAGGAGUUCAGUCUGGAUUGCCCACUCAGUGUCAGUAUUUUACAGAGAAGACGAAGGGAGGGAAAAAGGAAAGGAAAAAAUAAGCAGCAAUAUUCACGUUAAAAGUUGCAUCUUGUUUGGAUACGAUACCUAGCACGGGUGCACUGACACUCCUGAUGCGAUCUUCCAGUCCCAAGAAGCAGAAAGUCAGAUGAAGAAGCAAAGAAGAUAUAAAUCACCAGCAAAAUAAAGUUACAGAAGAGCAAAGUGGUAAGCUAGUAGUAAGCUAGAGUAAGUAGUAAGCUAUUAAAAGCAGAAACAAAAAGAAAAGAAGCUGUUAUGCUUGACAUCAAAGGGAUUGUGCAUUGGUGUGCACAAGCCCCAGGAAUCCUGGACCAGUCAAAGAGAUAGGAAUGAUCAUUUAUAUUUCAUCAAUUCUUUGGCAACUGUAACACAUCAAGCAUAUACUACUGAAAUAAAGCAAUGUCUAAAACCACAUCAAAUUUCUGUGAAAUACAGAACUGGAGGUAUAAUGAGUUUACUGCAUGUGGAAGAAACAAACCAGACUCUGGUAAUUCAGUGCUUUUAAGAACUCAUUGCUUGUUUCUGGAAUAACAUUCUGCUUUACAAGAUCCCCCAUCCUUUGAUCCUGCAUGUAAAAGACCUAACAGCAUGGCCAAUAAAUUAUCUGCUGACUAUUAAUGAGGAUCUACAACGCUGUGAUCACAGAAAAACUACAAAAAAAAAAAAAAAAAAAAAAGAAAACAACAAAAACCAACAAAACAAUCCACCAGCAAUCUAUUGAAAUCUUUAAGCUAUGCUACUUAGUGGUCUUAGGACCAUGUGGCCUUACCAAACAAAUGAAAAAACCAUCACCAAAAAAAUCCACAAACCAGCAAACAGCUGUGACCCCACAACAAUUAAAACAAAACAGAUUUUUCCCUGAAAUGUGUACAUUACUGUUGGUUAUACUGUAAAAUGUCACACAUUAAAAUGUAGCGAGAAGGGAACUGGGAGACUUUUCUUUUUUAACAUACAGUCUAGCAUAAAUGUGCGGUUUUGUUUCCUUGUUUUUUAAGAAAGCAUCAACAAGCUCAGGAUCACUGCAAGUAGACAAAAAAGAGGACCUUAUUCCUAAUAUGAAUAUGUUUGGAUCACCAAAAAUUCUAAUUUUCAGUAAUAGAUUUUUUGGCUUUUAAGAAUGCUGCCUUCCAAAAAAAAAACAAAAACCACUAAACCAACAAAAAGUCUCUUCAUUACACUGCCACUGGUAUUCACAAAUUAUAACAUCUGGUGCAAAAAGAAAAACAAAUGCUCUAAAGUAAAUCUAGUCUUUAGUCUCUAGCAAACUUAUCUAAAAUACUUAUAUAUUGUUAAAGGAGCAGAGCUUUCCUCACUGAAUCAUCUGAACUGUUCAGUUCAUUCAUGUAACACAGCAGGUUACACAGUGUGCUAUUUCCCCUUGUUGGUUUGCUUUUUUGCCUCUUCCAUAACCCCCAUGCUGCCUCUGAGAGGCAUACAUACUCAGAUACAGAUACAUACUCAGGCCCAGGAUGCUGUUGUACUCAGUGUCAUUCGUGUCAGGUGCAUUUGACUCAUUAUAUGUCCCCUGGUCUCCAUUCUGCGUGGGUCGAGGAAGUUUUCCUGGCAAAGUUUGAUAUUUGCUGCCUUUCACAAGUGGCUUACUCUGUAGAUUUGUUUUUUUAAGAGGAGAAAAAAAAAUAAAAAAAAUCACUCAUUGCAUUUAGAGUCUGGCACACAAUAAUUUGAAAGUUUAGAAAAAGUAUUUUGCAGUUUACAGUUCUAAAUGACACCACCACCCUUCAUGGUCCUUUUUACAGAUACUCAAUUUAAGUCUAAUAAUCAGCUGCCAAGAAGUUCUAGGUAAGAGCCAGCCUUCUCUUCCCUUCUUUUCCCCUUCACCCAGACUGUAAAUUAUAUUAAACAAUAAUAUAUACUGAAUAUUUCCUAGUUUCCUCAUAAAUAUUUUUCUAGCCAGCUCCGCUUCGUUCAGGACCCUGACACCACAUAACAAUUCAGUCCUUCCAAGGCCAACUUUGAUAGCAGCAUAAAUGCAUUUAGUCAUUUCCCAGCCCAUUCUUUGCUGUCACAUUUUUCCUUUACACUUCACCCAACUGCCUGUGUUUUGGUCUUACAGAUGUGUCGCAGUUUAAGCCAAAGGCAUUUUGAUAACUCAAAUUUGGUCAGACAUUUUGCCCAUCAGUAUUAAUGACAUACAAAGAAUCAACAAUGAAUUCAGGAUACAGAAAUUUAACUUUUGUAAGCUAAGUUACAGGAAUAGAGAGUUUUUUUUCUGGAAAAGAAAUGAGCCUGCACCUCCAAUUAUGGCAGAGGUGUACAUUCAACGUGUGAUUUGAAAGCAGCACAAAAACAAUUAGUAUUCCCCUAUUUAGUAACAUCAUUUAAUUGUUUUGGAACACCUCGAUCAAACUUGUCUGGGACAGGAUAAUAAUUACUGGUCUAUCCAUUCUUGUUUCAAGGCCAGAAGUGAUUUCAGUGAUUCUGUAAUCACAGAGCAGAUUCCUCAGUUUCAGGGACUGUGUGUCUGACCCCUGCUCCUGUUUUGCCAACUGCAGUUUCACAACUGUCCCAGCUUGUACCAAAGAUUACAUGAGUAGAGAAACUUCAUACUACUUUUAUCAAAGAUUAGCACUGUGUUUCCUGAUGCUGACUGACUUCCAACCUUAGAUACCCAAAAAGCUUGGUUGAAUAAAAAACACCACCACCAUCACACAGAAAAAAGAAAAAAAAAAACCACUACCACAAACCAAACAACUCUUCAAUCCUUACCCCCACUUUCAAAUUUUGUCAGGUAGCUGGACUUUACAAACAUUUUAAAAGGGAAAAUGAAGUGAAAACACAGCCACGACAUCACAGCAGAUAAACGUUAAAAGAGUUUACAGUUAAUAUACCUCUUGUUCUACAACAGGCUGUACUGGUUUUCCAUCUACAUACUAUGGAGUUGCAGGGAGAGUAAUUUCAAAGUUUUAUGGAAAAAAGCAACAGACAAAUGUUAGUAUUAAUAUACAUACACAAAACAUCAACUGUAGCUUGAUUACUAUAGUGAUGCUAUUUAAUGCUAUGACAAUAUGUUACAAGGUCUGAUAUCUCCUCAUUUUCAUUAUGUAUUUAAUAUUAAAAGCAUAGGUUCAAAAGAUUACAAAAUUUGUGCCCAGUUUACGUUCUGCUAUUAAAAGGAUUUCAGUAUUUCUGGGCUUCUGAGGGUUUCCAUUGGAUGUGCAUUGAGCUGGGAAUGUGACAUUCACAUAACACUUGAAACAAUGUGAAAGUGACUGACAUAAGAGAACAUAGGCAAUGCUGUAUGUAUCCAGCUGAAACUAUAAAAAAAGAGCUGUGGUAAAAAUGAAGUGAUAAAAAAAAAAACAAACAAAACAGCAUGGGGAGGUCAGAAUCACCAGAAUGUUUCAUCUUACUGCUGGAUGUAAUUAAAAUUUGAAUCUUGUACAAAAAACAACUCCAGAAAUGGUGUCGUUAGCACAAGUUCCACUGGACUCAGUGAAAGGAGCAAAUUCUGGUGCUGAGUCAGCAAAAUAAUCUUUGUUUUGGCUAAGUUGUGGCUAAUUCAUAUUUAGUCAAUCACUUAUGUGCAUAGGGAGGUCUGUUUCACUAAGAACCUCGUACCUAAAUGAGGGCACAUAAUUUAAAUGCCCUGAUAAACAUGGGGCUCACUGGCUAUGGUUGUGCCAUAUCUUUGAUUUCAGCCUGAUCUUAUCAUAAUGACAAAGGUUUUUCAACUUAAGACAAAAAUAAUUUAAAAGUUAUGAAAAGAAAGCAGACCUUCAUAAAUUCCACAUGGAGUAAAGUGUUAGUUGUCAUUCUGUCGGUCCUGUGUGUGACCACACUCAAAUGCAACAUAAAUUUCAAACAUUUUAUUUGGUGAUUAUUGUUUUUAGACAUUUAAGAACAAAUUUAAUGAAAUUUGAAGUAGGUAAACAAUCAUAUUACUAGGGAAUGUGGUUAUUAUCCUUUUUAAAUGGCAUUACUAAGUAUGCAUAAUUCGUGUUAAGCCUAAUUUUGGUACAGAAAAUGUCAAUAAUAGUUUCACAGAUUUUAUGUGUAGAAAAAGCUUCAGUGUACACGACAAAAAAUAAAACCUCUGGACCAUAGCAUAAGGAGAUUUUGUAAAUUGUGAAGUCUUAAUUCUGGAAUUAAGCCAUAGAAUUAACAACAGUGCUCCUGUUUUUAAUGAAAACAGCAUUGCUGCCAUCUUCAAUAAUGCCAUUUAUAUUAGAAGUCAAAGUUAGGGAGUAACACUCAUAGUUAUGUGCAAACACUCAAAAAGAAAUCCUAUGUGAAAAUGCAUGCCCAUUCUCAAUACUUUUUGAUUGCUUUCAAGUUCUGUUGUCUUAACAUUUCAGCAAACAGGAAAUCAAAAUUAUCUUAAAAACACCUUUCUUAAACAAAAUGUUAUACAGUUCAACAGAAUGGCUCCUCAUUAUAGUUAUAGUUAUACUUCUCUUAAAUACUUUUAUCAUAGAAAUUCUGAGUACAAAUAAACCAACCUUUUCCAGGGAUUCACUCUGCAAGUCUUCUAAGCUACUUGACUUUUUUUUCUGUGGAACCCUUAAAAUUAUAAGAGGCAAAAAGACCAUAAUAAAUAUAAUAUGUUUACAUCACAACUCUCUCAUGAUAGUUGUUGUAUAUCACAAUUUCUUUGUCUAGCAGAUAACUCACAAAUAGAUUUGUUUGUACCCUAAAACUCACAGUACUGGGUUUAAAACAUAGUGCUGACAUAGAUGAAGUCAGAAAAGUGAAAAAGACUUUUAGUCAACAAUGAAAGGCAACAAGUACAGUGACCAAGUUCAAACCAUAAAUGACUUUUUAGAAGCUCUGAAGCAAAAGUAGAUGUUAAUAAAGCUCUGCGAACACCAUGCAACACUAAAGGCUUUUAAAAAGAUUUUUAAAAUGGAAGGAAAAAAGUUGUUGAAGAGCAGAGAGGACUAGAUGCAACAUUCAAACAGAUUAAAUAAUGUAGACUUCAGACAACCUGCACAAAAAGUAAGAAUAGCCUUGCCUGAUUUCCGUAGUUUUGUGCGUCACUGGAGAUAGCAAAGCUGGUGACAAUUCUCCUGCAGAGGCCUAUGCAAAAUAGAAGUAUCAUGCCUGUAACUCUGGUGUCUACAUCUGAACCUACAGUGAGGGUGGUGAGGCACUGCCACAGGUUGCCCAAAGCUGUGGUGUAAGCCCCAUCCCUGGAGACACUCAAGGCCAUGCUGGAUGGGGCUCUGAGCGACUCCACCUAGCAGUGGGUGCCCCUGUUCACUGCAAGGGAGUUGGACCAGAUGGCCUUUAGAGAUUCCAUCAAAUUCUAAAGAUUCUGUGAUUACCAGUAGGCACAAAAAUUUAGCAAGGUCCAAACCCGUGUCUGCAUUACCUCUGCUACAACAGAGAGACCAAGACAAACAACUUGAAUUUACAGCAGAACCUACUUCUAAGACAUCUUUACUAAGUACCUCUGCUUUAAAUACUUCUCCUUGAGGAUUAUUCAAAACAUUCAACUUCCUUAAAGUUGCCUCAAGUUCUUCUUCACUGCCACCAGAGACAAUUCUGUCUGAAGAGCCUGCAAGCAUUAAAAGCAGAAAUGGAGAUAAACAGUAAAAAUACAACAUUUAGGACUGUAUUUAGGCUAUCUAAAUACUAGUUUCUAAAUUCCACUUUUUGACUUCAUCUGAUGCAUAUAGUUCAACCUCAGCCGCUUCACUCUACAUGCCUCCUUAAGGCUCUGACUUGUAAGCAAGGUGAUUUGUAUUUGAGCAACAAAUAUAACACUUAUAGUCAUCUGUUGUGCUCUGCUCAGAAUACGUGAGCUGAUUGUGGGUGUGAACCACGCUAACUCAGUUUGGUGUUCUGAGGCAAGAUCAAGUUGGUACCAUUUUCUUUCUCACACUAUGUCACUUUAUAGGAAUUAUGUUAGAUGCCAGAUGUAUCAUAAAGCAGUGUCCUAUUCUCAGUUUGAGGAUAAACAUGUAAACGUUUUUUUUUCUGGAUAUCUUGGAGUGAAACAAGGUUUUUAUUCUUGUCAAAUGUAAGAGGAGGGAAAGGGCAGCAAAACUUAAGGUAUUAAUUGCAGCUCUUUUUAGCAAUAUGUCAUGUACAAAGAAGAAAAGCAUCCUCAUAACAGAUUCCUUGUGAUGAACACAAGUAUAAAAAGCAUGACAUGAAGGGAAAAGUACUCCCAGAUGGAUGGCUGGUGGCUAAUCAGUGCUGCCAUUCCUGAACUGAAUGGUAGUGUAGAAAUCUCAAUAUCGGAUGCCAUUAAAAGUUCAUCAUCUGCUAAGUUCUCCUGGUUUCAGUUUACACUGUAAGAACUUGCUGUUUGUUACCUAAUGGUCAUAGAAAUAAAGCAUCAUGCAAACGUAAGGCCUAUCUGUAUACUUUAAUUCAUUUGCAGGAGAUGAUUAAAGUGUCAUUUUAAUUUUGAAUAACAGAUUCCAGAAGGGGAUAUAAUGCAAUCUAGCAAGACUACUUUAAACUUGUGCCUUUAGCUAACUUGAUUGAACUAUCCUAAUUGUUUGUGUGUGUCAACAAAUUAUUUGUCAGCACAAGCAUUCGGCUCAGUCUUCUUUACCCUUUCUUCUAUAAUUCCUUCUCAUGCAACAUCUACAGCCCUUCAUUAUAUGGAUGUAGGUGUUCUGCAGUCAAAGCCCGUUGCCCCGUUGAGGUGUAUAGAAAAGUAUUUUAAGGAAAGCAGUGCUGACUUUGGAUUGCCUUGACACAUAAUGAGUAGAACUGCAGAACUUCAGACCUGACAGAUGAGCAGUGCACACAGCUAAACAACCAGAGCAGUCAUCUCAUCAACCAUCAUUCUUUCAUAUUCUAUGAUUCUGAAUGAUAAACAUAAAUAGCAGCAAAAUUAGGCCCAAGAAGGAAAUUACUAGUAACUGAUGUUGAACAAAAUUUAGGUAAAGUCUUACGGAAUUCAGUUUCUCUGAAUAUUAAUGUUGUAACUAAAUCCUCAAAUAGCCUUGAUUUUUAUUUAUUUGUUUGUUUGUUUGUUUUUUUGCAGUGAACACAGGCUAAAAACCAGGAAGGCAACAUCUACCAGCUAGAGACAAAAACACAUAAGCCUGCUCAAGCAAUAAUGUCGCUCUCUCUACUCUUACAGCACUCCAACACGAUACAAAAAUAAUAUUCGUAUCAGUUCCAACCUGCUUUGAAACAAGUAUAUAUGAUGGAGACAGAACUGCGUUGACAUUAGAGCAGACCCAUUUGUUUCACAGAACACUAUGAAAAACAGAUGUGGAAGGCAUGAAGUCAGAGUGAGGAAGGAGUCAACAGCAUAAAGAACAGUUUAAAAUGUUCUACAACUAAAUGUUGGUAUAAAACGUAAUCAAUCAUUUUCCAGAACUGUAAUUGUUUUCUCUGGUAGUGAUUCUGAGAAAUAGGCACUUUGUAAUGAUUACAUUUUAAAACACGUAAAGGAACUUCGCAACAUUUCUCUUUCAAAAAAGAACACUUAACAACACAAGGCAUGCUCAGACACAGCCAAAUCAAAAACUGAAGCCAGCAGACAGUGGGCAAGCAAUUGGAAAAUGUUUAAGAAGGCGUUACAAAUCACAGUGCUGCUCAUUUCAGCUCAUAACAUAGACUUCAAAAAGACCUGGUGUUGAGGUAUUGUUAAGCACACAAAGCAAACUUUACUUAGAAUAUAUUUAUAAGAAUACCAAGUAUGGAAACAGAUUUUUAUUCAGACUGAUCUUUAUUUUUAUUUUAAUUUACUGCUCUGAUUAAAAACAAACAAACAAACUCAAAUGCUUUCCUUUGAGGAAAAAGGCUUUCAACUGAAGCCAUCUUCUCAGGAAUUAUAAAAAGAGGUAAAGGUGAAGUGUUGGCUCUGUUAACCUUGACAAUGUCAGUUUGAAGUCCCCAGCCAUCUGAUUAGUGAGCUUUUGAUUUAUUUUCUGAAGUGAAAUCUUACUGAACAAGGUAAGUAGCUGUCUGCUUGCAGCAAGCAAUAAAAGCAAUUUCUCAUGUAUAUUAGAAUUAGACUGUCAAAUCUAAACAGACAUUGAAUUACUGCUGCAGAAUGCAUUUGAGUUACAAUUUGUGUGGAAGGAACAGUAAGAAAAAGCCACAAGUGAAUUGCAAGGCUUACGGUUUUUUUUUAGCCUUCUCUUAUAAACUUCCUCUAUGGUGGUAAAUGGUGGGAGUCAAAUAAAAUAUAUAGAAAAAUAUACAGAAAAAGCACAGAUUAGAUAAGGUUUGCAUUUUAAAGAGAAUACACAUUCUAGUAUACUAGAAAGAACAUUAUUUUUCUACUUUAUUUGAGAAGACUCCUGAAAAUCUGAUGAAUUGUUACAAUUUUUUUCAAAAGCAUUAUUACUGCUGCAUACUGUCUCUUUUCAAAUAUAGUCUAAGUGUUUUCCUUAAGGUAGCAUGAAGAAUCUGUACAGACUCUUCUCCCACUGGAUUCAAGCUGAACUGCACCUAUCUUCAGUGUGAACUGGACAAGACACACUGCUAGAAGCUGAAAGUUGCUGAGCUCUCAACUUGAUGGCAUACAGCUACCUGUCCCUUGAAGUAUCACCACUUGAGAACCUCAUAGAAAAUACAACAUUCUAUUAGUAGGAGAGUCUGCCCACAAUACAGUGUUGUUAGAGAAAGUAAUAUCUAGUUAGACAUGCAGUAUUUCACAUGCACAAACUCUGCAAAUGAGUAAAAUCAGCACAUGUUAAGGUUUCACAGAACAGGACUGUCACUGCUUCCGAAUAAACAACAGUCAAGUGAGCACUAAGAAUGAGGGAGCACAAACCUCCUGAAGUCUCAAACAAAGGCACUAUUUGUAAACAGUAGGUAACAUCCACAAAAAAUUUAGUGCAGCUAUAUGAUACACCAUGGUAAACCUGCACACAGAUAAUCCUGCACUAAGAGUCAGUAUUGUGGAUGAAAAAGUUCACUAACGUCAUAAAGCUCACAACUGACAGAAGCUGUAGGAAGACUGUGGCAUCACUGGUUGUGACCAAAGGAUAAGCAAACUGAUCAAUCUGUUAUUCACCUCUAUCAAGUAUGCAGACUUAACACAGAAAUCUGUGACACAGUCCUGAACAAAGGAAAGAUGUGCAUUAACAGAUUUUUAGAAUGUUAAAUCAUUCCAACAUUAUACCUCGCUACUAUUGAGACUGUUUGUCUUAAAAAAUGGCAACUGUCAAGAUUUCUCAAAGUAAUUUUGAAGGUAUACACAAAAAUAUAUAUUCCUUCUGAACAAGAACAACUCUUUGAAAUUAUAAAUAGAAUCCCAGUUGAAAAAAUUUCAGUGGAAUUCCCCUUCUCUUACCUCUUUCUGCAACUUCGCUAUGUGAUGAGGUCCUAGAUAGCUGACAUUGUAAGCGUUCAAUUUCUGCAUCUUUGAGAGCUAACUGCUCCUGAAGCUGGGCUAUCUCAGCCUGAGAAUAAAACAAAUUCAGAAUAACAUGA